rnacentral:rRNA from 1 species
UCAAGCUACAAAGAGCGCAAGGGGAAUGCCUUGGCACUGGGAGCCGAAGAAGGACGUGGUUAACUGCGAUAAGCUGCGGGGAGUCGUAAGCAGACAUUAUAUCCGCAGAUUUCCGAAUGGGGCAACCCGGCUGAUAGUAGAUCAGUCAGCAUAUACUGAAUAAAAUAGGUAUAUGUGGGGAACCGCCUGAACUGAAACAUCUAAGUAGGGCGAGGAAGAGAAAUCAAACGAGAUUCCGCUAGUAGUGGCGAGCGAAAGCGGAAGAGGCCAAAUCGAGAGUAGAAAUACUUUCGGGGUUCGGACAGCGAUAUGUAGGUAAAAGGUUAGUCGAAGUGUGUGGGAAAGCACAUCAGAGAGGGUGAUAAUCCCGUAGACGAAAACUGAUUACCGCUAGCUGUAUCCAGAGUACCGCCGGACACGUGAAACCCGGUGGGAACAUGGGGGGACCACCCUCCAAGCCUAAAUACUACCCAGUGACCGAUAGAGUAAUAGUACUGUGAAGGAAAGGUGAAAAGGACCCCGGGAGGGGAGUGAAAUAGAACCUGAAACCCUGUGCCUACAAGCACCGAGAGCACGUCAAAGUGUGAUCGGGUACCUAUUGUAGAAUGGUCCGGCGAGUGUGUGUAACCAGCAAGGUUAAGAGCUUAAGGCUCGGAGCCGCAGCGAAAGCGAGUCUGAACAGGGCGUAUGAAGUUGGUUGUACACGACCCGAAACCGAGUGACCUACCCAUGUCCAGGAUGAAGUGGAGGUAAAACUCCAUGGAGGUCCGAACACACGUCCGUUGAAAUGGCCGGUGAUGAGGUGUGGGUAGCGGAGAAAUUCCAAUCGAACCCGGAUAUAGCUGGUUCUCUCCGAAAUAGCUUUAGGGCUAGCGUUGUCUUAGAUUACCGGGGGUAAAGCACUGAACGGGCUAGGGGCUGAAAAGUUACUGAACCCUAUCAAACUAAGAAUACCGGAUAAUCGAUGGACGGCAGUCAGACUAUGAGAGAUAAGUUCCAUGGUCAAAAGGGAAAGAGCCCAGACCCACAGCUAAGGUCCCAAAGUACAGUUAAGUGGAAAAGGAUGUGGAAUUGCACAGACAACCAGGAUGUUGGCUUAGAAGCAGCCACUCAUUAAAAGAGUGCGUAAUAGCUCACUGGUCGAGUGACUCUGCGCCGAAAAUUCAACGGGGCUAAACUGUACACCGAAGCUUGGGAUAUAUGUCUUUAAGAUGUAUAUGGUAGGAGAGCGUUCUCUGCGGGGUGAAGCAUGAGCGGAAGCGCGUGUGGACUUCAGAGAAGUGAGAAUGCCGGAAUGAGUAGCGAGAAUUAUGUGAGAAUCAUAAUGGCCGAAAGCCUCAGGUUUUAGAAGGAAGGUUCGUCCACUUCUAGUUAGCCGGGAGCUAAGGCGAGGCCGAAAGGCGUAGCCGAUGCACAUACGGUAGACAAUCCGUAGCUGCCAAAAGAUUUAAAUUAAGGGACACUCUGAAAGGGUACAUCCCGGGCGUUGGUUGACCCGGGCGUAAGGGAGCGAAUUAUUCGCGAAGUGUGCUUGGACGGAGGCGAGAAAAGCUUAAUGUAUAUCUGCGGCACCCGUACCGCAAACCGACACAGGUAGGUAGGAGGAGAACUCUAAGGCCAACGGGAGAAGAGUUGUUAAGGAACUCGGCAAAUUGACCCCGUAACUUCGGGAAAAGGGGUGCUCAUAGCAAUAUGAGCCGCAGUGAAUAGGCCCAGGCAACUGUUUAUCAAAAACACAGGUCUCUGCUAAAUCGUAAGAUGAAGUAUAGGGGCUGACGCCUGCCCGGUGCUGGAAGGUUAAGAGGAGGAGUGCAAGCCCCGAAUCGAAGCCCCAGUAAACGGCGGCCGUAACUAUAACGGUCCUAAGGUAGCGAAAUUCCUUGUCGGGUAAGUUCCGACCCGCACGAAUGGCGUAAUGAUCUGGGCACUGUCUCAACAGCUCACCCGGCGAAAUUGUAGUACCGGUGAAGAUGCCGGUUACCCGCGACAAGACGGAAAGACCCCAUGGAGCUUUACUGUAACCUGAUAUUGGGUUUCGGUAUUUUAUGUACAGGAUAGGUGGGAGACUAUGAAACAAGGGCGCCAGCCUUUGCGGAGUCAACCUUGGGAUACCACUCUUAAAAUACUGGAAUUCUAACCUGCGGCCGUGAAUCCGGUCGGGGGACAUUGUCAGGCGGGCAGUUUGACUGGGGCGGUCGCCUCCGAAAGAGUAACGGAGGCGCUCAAAGGUUCGCUCAGCAUGGACGGAAACCAUGCUUUUGAGUGUAAACGCAUAAGCGAGCCUAACUGCGAGACUGACGGGUCGAGCAGUAACGAAAGUUGGAGUUAGUGAUCCGGCGGUAUGUGAGUGGAAAUGCCGUCGCUCAACGGAUAAAAGCUACCCUGGGGAUAACAGGCUGAUCUCCCCCAAGAGUCCACAUCGACGGGGAGGUUUGGCACCUCGAUGUCGGCUCAUCACAUCCUGGGGCUGUAUUCGGUCCCAAGGGUUCGGCUGUUCGCCGAUUAAAGUGGUACGCGAGCUGGGUUCAGAACGUCGUGAGACAGUUCGGUCCCUAUCUGUCGUGGGCGCAGGAUAUUUGAAAGGAGCUGUCCCUAGUACGAGAGGACCGGGAUGGACGCACCUCUGGUGCACCAGUUGUUCUGCCAAGGGCAUAGCUGGGCAGCUACGUGCGGAUUGGAUAAACGCUGAAAGCAUCUAAGCGUGAAGCCAACCUCAAGAUUAGAUUUCCCAUAGCAUAAGCUAGUAAGGUCCCCGGAAGACUACCGGGUUGAUAGGCCGCAGGUGUAAGCGCAGUGAUGUGUGUGCCAGGCGGUACUAAUAGACCGAGGGCUUGACCU